rnacentral:rRNA from 1 species
AUUGAACGCUGGCGGCAGGCCUAACACAUGCAAGUCGAACGGUAACAGGCAGCAGCUUGCUGCUUUGCUGACGAGUGGCGGACGGGUGAGUGAUGUCUGGGCAACUGCGCGAUGGAGGGGGAUAACUACUGGAAACGGUAGCUAAUACCGCAUAACGUCGCAGGACCAAAGAGGGAGACCUUAGGGCCUCUUGCCGUCGGAUGGGCGCAGAUGGGGUUAGCUAGUAGGUGGGGUAACGGCUCACCUAGGCGACGAUCCCUAGCUGGUCUGAGAGGAUGAAGAGCAACACUGGAACUGAGACAAGGUCCAGACUCCUACGGGAGGCAGCAGUGGGGAAUAUUGCACAAUGGGCGCAAGCCUGAUGCAGCCAUGCCGCGUGUAUGAAGAAGGCCUUCGGGUUGUAAAGUACUUUCAGCGGGGAGGAAGGGAGUAAAGUUAAUACCUUUGCUCAUUGACGUUACCCGAAGAAGAAGCACCGGCUAACUCCGUG